rnacentral:lncRNA from 10 species
GCAGGAGAAUCGCUGGAACCUGGGAGGCGGAGGUUGUGGUGAGCUGAGAUGGCGCCAUUGCACUCCAGCCUGGGCAACAAGAGCAAAACUCCAUCUCAAAAAAAAAAAAAAAAACUAAGAUGGUUUUUUUGUUUUUGUUUUUGUUUUUGUUUUUAGGCAGAGUCUCGCCCUGUCACCCAGGCUGGAGGCAAUGGCACAAUCUCUGCUCACUGCAACCUCCGCCUACUGGGUUCAAGUGAUUCUCCUGCCUCAGCCUCCCGAGUAGCUGGGAUUACAGGCACGCACCACCACGCCCAGC